GUAACAAGGUAGCCGUAGGGGAACCUGCGGCUGGAUCACCUCCUUAAUCGACGACAUCAGCUGCUUCAUAAGCUCCCACACGAAUUGCUUGAUUCAUUGAAGAAGACGAUUGGGUCUGUAGCUCAGUUGGUUAGAGCGCACCCCUGAUAAGGGUGAGGUCGGCAGUUCGAAUCUGCCCAGACCCACCAAUUACUGGUGCACCCUGUAGCGAUACGGGGCCAUAGCUCAGCUGGGAGAGCGCCUGCCUUGCACGCAGGAGGUCAGCGGUUCGAUCCCGCUUGGCUCCACCAUUACAGAUUGGUGUCCAUCGUUUAAAGCUUAGAAAUGAGCAUUCCGCUGAUAGGCGAUGAAUGUUGAUUUCUGAUCUUUAUCAGAAUCGUUCUUUAAAAAUUUGGGUAUGUGAUAGAAAGAUAGACUGGAUAGCACUUUCACUGGUGUUUAUUCAGGCUAAGGUAAAAUUUGUGAGUUUAAUCGCGAAUUUUCGGC
rnacentral:sRNA from 1 species